rnacentral:rRNA from 1 species
GACGAAGGUGGCGAGCGUUAUUCGAAAUCACUGGGCUUAAAGGGCGCGUAGGCGGAUAUGCAAGUGUCAGGUGAAAUCCCCCGGCUUAACCGGGGAACUGCCUGAUAAACUGCAUAUCUUGAGUCAAGUAGGGGUGUGUGGAACUCUUGGUGGAGCGGUGGAAUGCGUAGAUAUCAAGAGGAACGCCGAAGGUGAAGACAGCACACUAGGCUUGAACUGACGCUGAGGCGCGAAAGCGUGGGGAGCGAACAGGAUUAGAUACCCCCGUA